UCUGCCUCCCAAGUGCUGGGAUUAAAGACAUGCACCACCACUGCCCAGCAUUUUUGGCUUAUUUUUGUCUUGCAAAUCAUUUGAAAGUAGUUUGCAGACCUCAUAACACUUCAUCCCUAGGUAUUUCUGAAUGCAUUUCCCAAAACGGAGGACAAUCUAUAUACUUACCAUACCAUUACCAUACUUAAGGAAGUUAAUAAUUCAAUAAUAUUUUAUAUAUAUGUGUGUGUAUAUAUAUAUGUAUAUGCAUAUAUGUACAUAUAUGUGUGUGUGUAUGUAUGUGUAUACACACACACACAUAUAUAAUCUUUAUUUCUAUAGCUGUUCCCAAAGUAUCUUCAGUAGGAAGGCUUAUUUUUUAAAUAAAGAUCUAAACAUAUUUCACAUAUUGCUUUGCUGAAGUUUCUCUUAACUGGGCCUGUAAUCCCAGCACAUGGAGAGCUAAGUUAGGAAGACUGCCAUGAGGCAGAGGUUAGCCUGGCCUACAUAGUGAGUUCAAGACCAGCCUAAGCUACACAGUGAGACAAUGUCUCACAAAUAAAGCAAAAUAAAAGUUUAUUUUAGUAGUUCUCAUAUAGAAUAAUCUCUUGUCCCUUUUUUAAAAGAUAUUAACCAGUUUAAUGAGUUGAGACUAAUGAUUUUAUCCAGUACCUCUCACUGUGAACUUAUCUCUUCGCCUUAUGAUUAGAUUUAUAUUAAACAUUUCUUCAUCAACUAUUAAUUACAUAAUACACUAUACUUACCUGAAGUUAGCUGCUUUAUAUUUUUAAUUCCCUGGAAGUAAUGAUGAUGAUAAUAAACUAACAUUUAUUAAUAUUUAACAUGUUCCUGUCACUGAGUCAAUGCUGUGCAUAUUUGCGUACUCAGUGCUCACAACAGCAUUGUGCAUUGGAUGUCAUCAUAUGAAUGAAAAGCUGAGCACGCAGGUGGUGACUGGCCUCAGGCCAUGAGUGGUGCAGUAAUAGCAUAAUUUAAAGUUCAUGCUUUGUGAUUUUGGGUUUUUUUUUUUUUCCCAUCUUAAAAUUGUCAUUUAUGGUGGCUGGUGGGAUGGUUCAACAGUUAGGACCAGUUGGUUCUCUUGCGGAGGACCUAGCUUCUGUAUGGUGGCUCAUAACUGUCUGCAACUCUAGUUCCAGAGGAUCUGACUGUCUUGGGCACCAGCACACACAGACAUAUAGGCUGGCAAACACUCAUAUAAAAAAUAAAACUUUGGGGGGCUGGAGAGAUGGCUCAGCGGUUAAGAGCACUGGCUGCUCUUCCAGAGGUCAUGAGUUCAAUUCCCAGCAACCACAUGGUGGCUCACAACCAUCUGUAAUGGAAUCUGAUGCCCUCUUCCGGUGUGUCUGAAAACAGCUACAGUGUACUUACAUGUAAUAAAUAAAUAAAUCUUUAAAAAAUAAAUAAAUAAAACUUCUUUAUAAGUUGUCAUGUAUUUAAAUUAUUUCUUAAAAUUAUGAAGGCAAAUUUAUUCUUUAAAAAUAGAAAAGGGGCUCAGCGGGUAAGAGCACUGACUGCUCUUCCAGAGGCUCUGAGUUCAAAUCCCAGCAACCACAUGGUGUCUCACAACCAUCUGUAAUGAGAUCUGAUACCCUCUUCUGGUGUGUCUGAAGACAGCUACAAUGUACUAAUAUGCAUUUAAAAAGAAAAACGAAAAAUAGAAAAGCAUUUCCACAGCCAGUAUAACACAACUUGAGCCUACUGUUCAGAACGGCAGUGUAAAUGAAUAUAGAAUUGUCAAUCCGUAAGAUUUCAUCUCUGACCCGAUGGUCUUGCUUCUUUCCUCCUCUUUUUUUUCUUAUUAUUAGGAAUAUAUAUCCUGCUGCCAUAUUGUUAUACUUGGACAUUCCUAAGAAAUAAAAUUUUAGCAUUUUAGACCUGAAAACUCUUUUUCCACUCCCACCUGCUAACACUUUAGAAAACUUAAGUACAUACCUCUUAUUUGUGUCUUUCUGAACCAGAAACACUGGACCCUCUUUUCAUGGAUCCAGACUUGGCACAUGGAACUUAUACAGGAAGCUGUGGUCAUGUAAUGCAUGCAGUGUGCUGGCAGAAGUAAGUUGUCCCUCUGACAUGUUCUUGAAAGAGACUAAGAACAUUGACAUUCACUACACACCACAAAAGGCAUGUUUUCUCAUGUCUUCUUUCUGUUUUUCUUGUUGAAUAAUUAAAGCAAUUUUCAUUACUAAUCCUGUUUUCAUGAUACUAAUUAUAUUUCUGUUUAUUGUAAUUCUUUGAAAUUGAUGUAUCAAGUUCCCAGCUAAAUAUGUUUAGGGUUAGAGUAUAGCGUGAUAAUAUAGCAUGCACAGUGCGCUGCCCUAGCUCAGUCCCAAGCACUGAGAGUUCACCUGCUUCCCAAACACUAAAUAUUAACAAUGCUUGUCCUAGGCAGGUGAGAGAAGCAGUUAUCUUCAUUUAAAAGACAAAAACAAAAAAAAAAAAACUUAAAAUAGGUAGUAAAAAGUAUCUUUGUUGCCAUUCUUGGUGGCGGAUGCCUUUAAUCCUACGCUGGGGAGGCAGAAGCAGAGAUCCUGUGAGUUCCAAGGUCUGGUCUACAAAGCCAGACUCAGUACAACCAGGGAACACAGAUUG
rnacentral:lncRNA from 1 species